UUUGAAAAAUUCUCCUGGCGCUCUACUGACGCCAUUUUCAAGUGAGUGCGCGCUUCUCUUCAGUUCGCAUUGUAUAUGCUGGGGAGAGGAAUGUCUUUAUGGAAUGCCCAAGAAAGAGAGUUAUGAACUUUAUUCAUGUUAAUCCACAGACAGAGUGAAGUUAAUGCUGGGCGUGGCUGUAAAUAAAUCCUCUUUUGGUGAACAGAAGUGAAAGUGUCCUGGGUCUUCUUACACACAACGCAGAUGAUGGUGGGGACCAACAUGGUGGAGUAUUUACAGAAUGCAGACGACUGGAGCAUCGUUCCACAUUUUGUGCCUUGGAGACGAGACCAGGUGGAUGUGCCAGACUUGCCAGGCCACAACAUUGAGAGACUCUUUGCUGGAGACUGAUUGUUUAUUUUAAAGCUUUUUUGUGUGUGUUUGAUGUUAAUUACACAAAGCAGUGUCCCCCUACUUUGAAGUUUCUCCAGCAUGCUGUGUAUGAGAUUGAUGGAUAUGAGUUAUCAUCUGUUAAUUUUUUUAGGACAACAGUUUUCACGUUUAAUCAUCCUUUUAAAGUUUGCUUUUGUUGCAGGGCUCCUUGUCUGUGGGGGAGG